rnacentral:rRNA from 1 species
CAAUAGCGUAUAUUAAAGUUGUUGCGGUUAAAAAGCUCGUAGUUGGAUCUCGGCAGGCAGGGGGUGGUUCGCUCUUAGCGCUACUGCCCCAUUUGCCUGUGUGAUUGGCGGAGGUUUCGGGGUGCUCUUCGUUGAGUGACCCGGGGCGCCGUCAGGUUUACUUUGAAAAAAUUAGAGUGCUCAAAGCAGGCUUUUCACGCUUGAAUAUUCGUGCAUGGAAUAGUGGAAUAGGAACUCGUUUCUAUUUUGUUGGUUUUCGGAAAUCGAGUUAAUGAUUAAUAGGGACAAUUGGGGGCAUUAGUAUUCAGACGACAGAGGUGAAAUUCUUGGACCGUCUGAAGACUAACUACUGCGAGAGCACUUGCCAAGAGUGUUUUCAUUAA